UGAGCUCAGUUUUACCAUCACAGCAGCACUUGCUGAACGUCUGUUUAGACCAGUAAAUAACCUUUAAUUCGUGGAAGAGCAUCAAAGUGCCGGACAGUGUUGCGUGUUCACCCACUGAACUUGGUGCCACCAGUGAACCAGGGCCUGCGGUGAAGUCGGACGUCCCAAAUUUGAUUUUUAAUGCCAUGGUGGCUCUUGCACAAAGCAAAUUAAUCAUGGUGCUCGUUUAGAGUCUGCUAGGUAGGUCUUUCAUUGCCAAGCAGAUCAGAAUCAAUUUGUCCGAUCCUUGGACAGGAAGUGUCCCUCCGUGCCCGGGCUGCAUCUCAAACUGACAGGUGUGCUACAGUAUCCCCGGCGGCGUAAAUGCCUCUGAGGCAGCCGCGUAUGUGCCUGAUGCACUGGGAAUGGAUUCAUUGCCAAUACUGGCAGCCUGGCUUGGGAGCAAUGCCCAAAUAUGGCUCGCAGCUGGUCAGCAGGGCGGUGGCCAGCGCGGCCGUCUUUGGGCCGAACUUGCGCGAGAAUAGCGGGCAGUCCUCCAGCACCGCUGCAUCCCAGCUCAGCUGCGCCGCCCGCUCGCAGUCAAACUGCGCCAGCUCGGAUGUGUGCACAUACAUCGCCCUCACACUCCUGCAGCCAAGCCCCCCAUCAGAUGCUUCUGCUUUCCACCAUAGAAUGUAUGGAACGACAAGCAUCAGACACUGUAUGCACUGUAUAUAUGAGCGUUGCCAUGCAGGGAUCAAAUGCGAAUACAGGUGCGUGGGGCGGGAGCACUGUUGAAUGCACAGGGCACGGGAUGAAGGGAGAGGAUAGACCGCAUUAGAAAGAAGUGAUGUAGUGUGGAAGGAAGGAGAUGGGGUUACCUGGUGGUGGCAACCUCGUUGCAGAAAA
rnacentral:lncRNA from 1 species